rnacentral:rRNA from 1 species
CAGCCGUAAACUAUGCUCGCUAGGUGUCAGGCAUGGCGCGACCGUGUCUGGUGCCGCAGGGAAGCCGUGAAGCGAGCCACCUGGGAAGUACGGCCGCAAGGCUGAAACUUAAAGGAAUUGGCGGGGGAGCACAACAACGGGUGGAGCCUGCGGUUUAAUUGGACUCAACGCCGGACAACUCACCGGGGACGACAGCAAUAUGUAGGCCAGGCCGAAGACCUUGCCUGAAUCGCUGAGAGGAGGUGCAUGGCGUAGACGUCU